UACAGAGGUCCCGAGCGUUGUUCGGAUUCACUGGGCGUAAAGGGUGCGUAGGUGGUGAGGUAAGUCGGAUGUGAAAUCUCCGGGCUCAACCCGGAAAUGGCAUUGGAAACUACCUUGCUGGAGGAUUUGAGGGGGGAUUGGAAUGCUUGGUGUAGCAGUGAAAUGCGUAGAUAUCAAGUGGAACACCAGUGGCGAAGGCGAAUCCCUGGAAAAUACCUGACACUGAGGCACGAAAGCUAGGGGAGCAAACAGG
rnacentral:rRNA from 1 species